rnacentral:rRNA from 1 species
ACGGAAGGCAGCAGUGGGGAAUAUUGCACAAUGGGCGAAAGCCUGAUGCAGCGACGCCGCGUGAGCGAAGAAGUAUUUCGGUAUAUAAAGCUCUAUCAGCAGGGAAGAUAAUGACGGUACCUGACUAAGAAGCACCGGCUAAAUACGUGCCAGCAGCCGCGGUAAUACGUAUGGUGCAAGCGUUAUCCGGAUUUACUGGGUGUAAAGGGAGCGUAGGCGGUUUUACAAGUCUGAUGUGAAAGCCCGGGGCUCAACUCCGGUAUUGCAUUGGAAACUGUAGAACUAGAGUGUCGGAGGGGUAAGUGGAAUUCCUAGUGUAGCGGUGAAAUGCGUAGAUAUUAGGAGGAACACCAGUGGCGAAGGCGGCUUACUGGACGAUUACUGACGCUGAGGCUCGAAAGCGUGGGGAGCAAACAGGAUUAGAUACCCUGGUA